rnacentral:rRNA from 1 species
UACGGAGGGUGCGAGCGUUGUCCGGAAUCACUGGGCGUAAAGGGCGCGUAGGCGGCGCGAGUAGUCAACGGUGAAAGCCCGGGGCUCAACCCCGGGUCGGCCGUCGAUACUCUCGUGCUUGAGCGCUGUAGAGGCAGGUGGAAUUCCGGGUGUAGCGGUGGAAUGCGUAGAGAUCCGGAAGAACACCGGUGGCGAAGGCGGCCUGCUGGGCAGUAGCUGACGCUGAGGCGCGAAAGCGUGGGGAGCAAACAGG